UGGAGCGUGUGGUUUAAUUCGAAGCUACGCGAAGAACCUUACCCGGGUUUGACAUACAGGUAGUAGGGAACUGAAAGGGGACCGACCCUUCGGGGAGCCUGAACAGGUGCUGCAUGGCUGUCGUCAGCUCGUGUCGUGAGAUGUCCGGUUAAGUCCGGUAACGAGCGCAACCCUUGCCGUAUGUUACAAGUGUCAUACGGGACUGCCGGUAUCAAGCCGGAGGAAGGUGGGGAUGACGUCAAGUCAGCAUGGCCUUUAUAUCUUGGGCA
rnacentral:rRNA from 1 species